AAUAUAUUGAAUGGAAGAGAAUCUUUGGAAGCAGCCUGGAAAGAAGUACGCUAACAUGUAACAGAAGAAAGAAUGCAAAGAAUUCCUGGAUGUCAGCUUGACUUUACCAGCAGUUUUAUGCUAAAAUACAUUGUAGAUACAGUUAAUAAACAGUAAAAUGCCUAAAACAAGGUGGUUGAGUGAGUGUGAGUGAGGUCAAAUCGUAGCUCAUCACGAAGAUGGAAUGUCUCAAAAGCAAAUUGCUCAGAAGAUGAAAUGUUCUCGUUGUGCAGUGCAAACGACUCUCUAGCACUUCAGAGAGACAAAAGAUGUGAAGUCAAUACAAAGAACAGGCAGAAGAAAGGUUACAUCACCUCGUGAUGAUAGAUCCAUCAUCCGUCAGUCGCUCAGAAACAGAAGAAAAACAUCGUCGGAGCCCUGUACGGACUUCAACAAGGCAAAUACUUCACAAAUAUCAAUCAGAACUGUUAGAAGAAGGCUUGUAGAGUGCGGUCUGAAAGGCGCCAUGGGUUUCUGAAGCGAAUAUGGAAAAACGUCUUCUGUGGGCCAAAAGCCACUCAAAUUGGACUAGUGGGCAAUGGUCAAAAGUCAUAUGAUCUGAUGAAAGUAACUAUGAGGUACUUUACAAAGAAACCCAUUCUGAAACUCCUGAGCAGUCAUCGUUUUACCCUUGAUGAUUCUCCGAAAGGCCACCCAACCAUUGAC